UGGUUACCUGGCGGGCAACAAACGUUGGAAAAUGGCGACGAACAGCGGCCAGCAGACAUGAAUACUAGAAUCAAUCAACUAUUUAGACCAUAUUAUGUCAGACAAUGUCAAUAUUAGGUAUCAAGAAAAGAUAUCUAUACUCGGAACUUGUGAUCCAUACACAGCACCUGCUGAUUUAUUCAUUUAUUUGAAGCUGGCAAAGUCUCUACCAAACAUUUAGUGUGGACAGACGGACGGCGCUACCUAUGGACGUUAGCAGCUACUGAUGAUAGACAUCGGACUUGCUUUUUACUCUCAGAACACUGCAUCUGUGCCUCCCUUUAGGUUUGAGCCCUCAUCCUGCCAACUGACCAUGUGGCCCUCCGUUGCCACAGAACUGGCCCUUGAGUACUACCAGAAGGGGACUACUGCCUGGAGGAUCAAGAGGGAUCAAGAGGGCCGACAGAAUGCACAUGGAGGCAAGGGAUACAGUAACACUGAUAGGAAGUGACCCCAGAGCUGUUGAGCGUGAGGUGCGCAGGCUGAUGGGUCAGGCGUCAAUGCAGCUGUGUGAGCAAAAUCCAAGGAUACUCUCCCAAUGGUCUGGAGGGAGAGGAGGCCUCGCUGCUGGCUCCAAAGCAGGUGCAGUUUGAUACAGUUUUCCACGGUUGAAGUGAAGAGGACUUGGAUGCAGAGAAUGCGUGCUCAGAGCUGAAAUUCAAACAUCUCCAAGACCUGAAGGAAGUCACCCCAAAGGACUUUCACAGCUUUUACGUCAAUUUGCUUCACUAAUAUAGGAUGGCAAUGUAACAAAACACACAGAGCCUCACAGAUACAUGCACACAGACACACAGACCCACCCUGCUCACAAACACAAAUACACUUAGUGUAAGGCUUAGUAAAAC